rnacentral:rRNA from 1 species
GUUGGGAUACUUUAAGAGAUGGAUUGGUGCCUUCGGGAACUCUGAGACAGGUGCUGCAUGGCUGUCGUCAGCUCGUGUUGUGAAAUGUUGGGUUAAGUCCCGCAACGAGCGCAACCCUUAUCCUUGUUUGCCAGCGAGUAAUGUCGGGAACUCCAGGGAGACUGCCGGUGAUAAACCGGAGGAAGGUGGGGACAACGUCAAGUCAUCAUGGCCCUUACGAGUAGGGCUACACACGUGCUACAAUGGCGCAUACAGAGGGCAGCAAGCUAGCGAUAGUGAGCGAAUCCCAAAAAGUGGGUCGUAGUCCGGAUUGGAGUCUGCAACUCGACUCCAUGAAGUCGGAAUCGCUAGUAAUCGUGGAUCAGAAUGCCACGGUGAAUACGUUCCCGGGUCUUGUACACACCG